CAGUUGCCCAUCCCCACCCAUGGGCAUGUAUUAGUCUAGAUGAUACCGGAACAAUAGUUCAGAUUCUUCAGGGAGAAUGCCUUUGAUGGACGGAACAGAAACUAGGCAUGAUGGUUGGGGAUUGGAUUGCAGGUACAGAAAACGGCCUGGGAAGAUUUUAAGAGGGAGGAGGAAGGCUGAGGAGCAGGUGAGUUAGGAGCUUCACUCACUCCUCUGUGGCACAUGGCAGGGAUGGCUUCUCAAAUGAACUGUGAGCUCAUUUAGGAGAACCACCUUUUUCCUGUAUGAAAUCUGAAGAAAAUGUAAUAUGUUUUGUUGUUUAUUUUUCUUUCCAUAGAACACUCUUUCAACUUCCUGUGGUAGGUGUUGUUAGGGACCAGUGUCGUCAUGGGUACAGGAUACAGCCACGGAGGAAUGGGUCAUGGUCUCACCUAUGGCAGUGGUGGUUACUACAGAAGCACAGGCCUGUCCAUCUUGAAAAGAUGUAAUGUAUUGUCUAUGGGGCAGAUGGGAGGGCUUGGCUGGUUUAUUGUAGAGGUUUCAGGUUUAGUUAGAGAUGGGGAGAAGAGGCCUCUUCUGAGAUAUCUGUGGUUCUAGUUUUCAAAGGGAAUUGAAUCUGUGAUGAGAGGAGAAUCCAGCCACUACAUGUCCAGGAAGAGGAGGGUGAUCUCAGAGAUGCCAUCUCUGCUUUGGUGGGCCUUGCUAUUGGCAUGGGAGAUGCUUUAGAGGGACAUAUUUCUGUUGGCCAGGGAGUGGAGGACAGGGCUCCAGAACCUGGGGAGGGAAUUGAGGAGGACUUCGUGUUGCUGCUGCUGGCAGGUCAUUUUUCUGUGUCUGAAGGGAAUCUGUAAGAAUAGCACAUAUUCAAAAAUCUCCCUUCAUUUUGUUCCCAGGAGCUCCCGAGACCAGCAUAGCUCUGCUAUUUCUUGUGCAAAUGAUCUUCUCCGCAGUCUUUCUGGCAUAACCUUGAUGUCCACAACACUGGCAGCAACUUCCAGGCAAGGAAACUCUUUGGAACUCUAACCAUCUCCUUUCUGUCCUUAGGUGAGCAGCCCUAGCUUGUGGUCCAUGGUGAACACCAUCCAUGUGGUGUCCAGUUCAAGGGGGGGCAGCAGGUUUGGCACUGGUGUAGCACUGUGGAGGUUAGGGACAGGGCAGGUUUCAGCCAGGGAGACUGGGGUCUGUAUUGUCCCAUUAGCUGUGGGAGGAGGAUAACAGCCCUAGACUGCAAGAGUUAAGGGAUGAGUUUGACAGUGAGGCAGGUACUGCGUGGAUGUUCCACUGCAACUCCAAAGGAGACACAGACAGAAAUCAGUGAGGAUGGGGGCAGCAAGUGUGGGUGGAGGGAGGGCCUCACAGAAGCUUCCUGGCAGUGUCUGCUCUUAUUCCAUCGACUUAGAAGUGGAAGGCGUAUGUUUACGUGGGGCUUGCAGCAGACCUGUCUGACAUCGGAUGUGAACAGAAAGGCCCUGUAGUCCUGCUCCCUGUCCUCAGCAACUGUGGAAGCCCAAGGUCCCUUGAUCUAGGAACUGCUGACAAGUCCAGAAUCCGUGGGACAAAACAUCAGGUUGAAGAUAGAAAAAGAGCCAUAGUUCAAGUUCAAAGGCAGCUGCUGGCAGAAAUCCUCAAGGGAGACUAACUAGUCUUUUUGACUGGGGCUAUUUAUAUGAAGACCAACAUUAUGUGCUUUAGUUAAACUCCAGUGAUUUAAAUGUUAAUUAAAAUGAAAAAAUACCUUCACAGAAAAAUCUACAGUAAUGUUUGACCUGGCUACUGUGACCUAAUCAUACAUAUGUGUGUGUGCUUACACACACACACACACACACACACACACACACAUGCAUGCACACAUGUAUGCAACACAAUGCCAGGUGAGAGGUAGUGGGAUAGAAAGACUAAAAUUGAUAAUUUUUGGAAGUGACUUGGGAAGGGUUCCUUUCCUUUUCCUGAAAAUACUGAGCACUAGAAUUAGGGGUUAUGAGACUCUGAAACAGCUUUGAUCUUUGGUUUCACAAUCUGACAACAUUAAGAAGUACAGAAGCAAACAGUUAUUUUUUCUCUCUAGUACUGGUACUCAGUAUUAACUGUAGAUUUUGACUUUCCAUUGAAAAAAUGGCAGAUUUGAUUUUCUUCCUAUUUUGAAUGAUUAAGAAUUACUCUAUAAGGUUUGGGGCUCCAGUGUUCUGUCUCCAGAUUCUUGGAUUUCUUUUUGAUUCCUUUUGAUUCCUCCUUCUGGCUUCCUGUUGCUUUCAUAGCACAGGGAACUACUCCAAGCCUUUACUUGUUAAUCAUCAUGCCCAGGGCUCAGAGAGUGGGUAUUAUUCAUUCUAAAGAAAGGAGCCCAGAAAUGAAAGCCUACCACAACAUUGCAUAAAAAAGCUUCAAGGUCUUGUGAGGCAAAGGGAUAGGGCUGUCUUUGUAUUAUGCUUCAUGGUCUGGGCAUGCAACUGUGAGGGUUCAUCCUGGCUCCUUCAAUUAGUUCAAAGAGACCAUGGGAAGAAGCAUCCUCCACACUAGGAGAAAUGCCCACCAAAGCAGAAGUGACACCUCUGAAGCCACCCUACACCUGAAGAUAACAUGAAGAGAAAUGAAGACAAGAAUCCCUCCUAGCAACCCUCACCCUUCUUUCCAUCAACUACCGUGAAAACACACAAGUUCAGGAACAUCUGCCUCCAGACAGAUUUGAGGAGAAUGACAUCUCCAUUCAAGGUUUUCUUGCAGUGGAUCAGUGAACCACACUGUCAGCAUCUAGCACCCAGCAGAAAGUAGACUGAGGCACUAUGGACCCUUGUAUAGAUUAUGUGUACUGUGGCCAAGACAAGCUAGUUCUUCUAGCUGCUGCCUACUCAGAACUGCUGCUUCUGUUGGCUUGAAAGAUCAUGAAAAUAAAAUGAGAGAGAAGGUCCAUCUUCAGCUCUGCCUUUUGCCUCUUUCCAAACAUUUGAGAAGCCAGUAUGCAUUAAAGUAAUUGACUUGAAUGUCAGGUCCUCCUGAAUUCCCUCCUUACCCCCUUUCAGUUAGGGAAGUGACAUCUCUUUCAUAUUCUCUCCAUGACCACUCCUGCUCCAAAGAUGAAGGACUCUACCUCUGUCUCUGAGUGUGGUUGCUUUGAAGUCUGCAAUGCUUUAACCUGCUCCUUCAGUAAAUCCCCUGGUUACUGAU